UACCAGCUCUCCGAGUGGUGUGGAUGUUUCUUGGGCCUAAAGCAUCCGUAGCUGGCUGGACAAGUCCCCUGUUAAAUCCACCGAUUUAAUCGUUAGUGUGCGGGGGAUACUGUUCGGCUAGGGGACGGGAGAGGCAGACGGUAUUUUCGGGGGUAGGGGUGAAAUCCUAUAAUCCCGGGAAGACCACCAGUGGCGAAGGCUGUCUGCUAGAACGCGCCCGACGGUGAGGGAUGAAAGCUGGGGGAGCGAACCGGAUUAGAUACCCGGGUAGUCCCAGCUGUAAACGAUGCAGGCUAGGUGUUUGGACGGCCACGUGCCGUUCUAGUGCCGCAGGGAAGCCGUUAAGCCUGCCGCCUGGGGAGUACGGCCGCAAGGCUGAAACUUAAAGGAAUUGGCGGGGGAGCACCACAAGGGGUGAAGCUUGCGGUUU
rnacentral:rRNA from 1 species